UCGGCCGCAAUGGAACUGAACACGGUCCAUACUCCUACGGAGCCAGUGGGGAAUCUUGCGCAAUGGGCGAAAGCCUGACGCAGCAAUCCCGCGUGAAGGAUGAAGCAUUAUGGUGUGUAAACUUCUUUUCUGGUGGAAGACGAAUGACGGUACACCAGGAAUAAGGGACGGCUAACUACGUGCCAGCAGCCGCGGUAAUACGUAGGUCCCAAGUGUUAUCCGGAAUUACUGGGCGUAAAGAGUCUGUAGCCGGGUUUGUAAGUCUGUUUUCAAAUCCUAUGGCUUAACCAUAGAGAGGGAAUGGAUACUGCAAACCUUGAGAUUAUUGGGGGUUGAUGGAAUUUCCGGUGGAGCGGUGAAAUGCGUUGAUAUCGGAAGGAACGCCAAAAGUGAAAGCAGUCAACUACAAUAAAUCUGACGGUCAGAGACGAAAGCUUGGGGAGCAAACGGGAUUAGAUACCCCGGUAGUCCAAGCCGUAAAUUAUGCAUGCUAGGUGUCUUGUUCACUUUAUGUGAGCGGGGUGCCGUAAUCUAACGAGUUAAGCAUGCCGCCUGGGUAGUAUAUUCGCAAGAAUGAAACUCAAAGGGAUAGGCGGGGGAACACACAAGCAGUGGAUUGUCUCGAUUAAUUGGAUAAUAAGCCAAGAAUCUUACCUAGACUUGACAU
rnacentral:rRNA from 1 species